rnacentral:misc_RNA from 1 species
GCAACAGUUAAACUUAAAUGUAGCAUAUUAACAAACAAAGGUAAUAAAGGCGUACAUGUUUAAUGAUAUUCAUGAAAAUCUACUCAAGAAGGUAUGUAACAGAACAAAACUCCAAAGAAGCAACAAAUAAACUCCAACAUUGCAUACAAACCAACAAAAUCUUAACUCAAUGAAACAACUAAGAACAUACACAUCAUAUCAAAAUAUUAUGAAUUUAGCAGCAGCUAAUGAACCAUUCGGUACCAAUAUGAGAGAAACUUCAAAUUCAAUGGAGCCAUUUCGAGCUUAAAAAAAAGAGGCGGGAAGAGUAUACACUUCAGAACAAUGUGCAAGACUAGAACUUAAAAUGACAAUAGACUAAUUGGGACAUUUAAUUAAAACAAAGCAAGAAAUAUCAAA